rnacentral:rRNA from 1 species
CCUACGGGCGGCAGCAGUGAGGAAUAUUGGUCAAUGGACGAGAGUCUGAACCAGCCAAGUAGCGUGAAGGAUGACUGCCCUAUGGGUUGUAAACUUCUUUUAUAUGGGAAUAAAAUGUUCCACGUGUGGGAUUUUGUAUGUACCAUAUGAAUAAGGAUCGGCUAACUCCGUGCCAGCAGCCGCGGUAAUACGGAGGAUCCGAGCGUUAUCCGGAUUUAUUGGGUUUAAAGGGAGCGUAGGUGGAUUGUAAAGUCAGUUGUGAAAGUUUGCGGCUCAACCGUAAAAUUGCAGUUGAAACUGGCAGUCUUGAGUACAGUAGAGGUGGGCGGAAUUCGUGGUGUAGCGGUGAAAUGCUUAGAUAUCACGAAGAACUCCGAUUGCGAAGGCAGUUCACUGGACUGCAACUGACACUGAGGCUCGAAAGUGUGGGUAUCAAACAGGAUUAGAUACCCCAGUAGUC